rnacentral:rRNA from 1 species
AACGCACCUUGCGCUCCUGGGCUAUUCCUAGGAGCAUGCCUGUUUGAGUGUCGUGAAAUCAUCAACCCCAGUUGGAUUUGAAAUUUGACUGGUGGCUUGGACUUGGGGGUUUGCUGGCCGUUUUGAUUCGGUCUGGCUCCCCUUGAAUGUAUUAGCUUGGACUUGUUCCUAAGGCUUCAUGGCGUGAUAAUUAUCUACGCUUUGAACCGUCUGUCGGUACCUCGUAGGUCUGGCUUCCAAUCGUCUUCGGACAAAGCACCCUUCAUUUUGACCUCAAAUCAGGUAGGACUACCCGCUGAACUUAA